ACUCAAAUGAAUUGACGGGGGCUCACACAAGCGGUGGAGCAUGUGGAUCAAUUCGAAGCAACGCGAAGAACCUUACCUGGGUUUGACAUGUACGGAUGCCCUCGAUGAAAGUCGAGUAAGCUGCCGAAAGGUGAAACGUGCACAGGUGCUGCAUGGCUGUCGUCAGCUCGUGCUGUGAAGUGUCGGGUUAAGUCCCUUAACGAGCGAAACCCUUGUCGCUAGUUACCAGCGGGUCAUGCCGGGGACUCUAGCGAGACUGCCGGCGUCAAGCCGGAGGAAGGCGGGGACGACGUCAAGUCAUCAUGGCCUUUAUGUCCAGGGUGUCACACGUGCUACAAUGGGGUGUUACAGAGCGACGCGAGACCGCAAGGUGGAGCAAAUCGCAGAAAUCACCCCUCAGUUCAGAUUGGGGUCUGCAAUUCGACCCCAUGAAGUUGGAAUCGCUAGUAAUCGCGGAUCAGCCAUGCCGCGGUGAAUAUGUUCCUGAGCCUUGUACACACCGCCCGU
rnacentral:rRNA from 1 species